AUUGAACGCUGGCGGCAGGCCUAACACAUGCAAGUCGAACGGUAGCACAGAGAGCUUGCUCUCGGGUGACGAGUGGCGGACGGGUGAGUAACGUCUGGGAAACUGCCCGAUGGAGGGGGAUAACUACUGGAAACGGUAGCUAAUACCGCAUAACGUCGCAAGACCAAAGUGGGGGACCUUCGGGCCUCACACCAUCGGAUGUGCCCAGAUGAGAUUAGCUAGUAGGUGGGGUAAUGGCUCACCUAGGCGACGAUCCCUAGCUGGUCUGAGAGGAUGACCAGCCACACUGGAACUGAGACACGGUCCAGACUCCUACGGGAGGCAGCAGUGGGGAAUAUUGCACAAUGGGCGCAAGCCUGAUGCAGCCAUGCCGCGUGUAUGACGAAGGCCUUCGGGUUGUAAAGUACUUUCAGCGGGGAGGAAGGCGGUGAAGUUAAUAACUUCACCGAUUGACGUUACCCGCAGAAGAAGCACCGGCUAACUCCGUGCCAGCAGCCGCAGUAA
rnacentral:rRNA from 1 species